rnacentral:lncRNA from 1 species
GUCUUUUCAUACUUUUAUGUUGACAAAUCAUCUUGGGGCGACACGGGGUGCAAACUCGCCCCCACGAGAGGAGCCGCCCUUCGCUAACAGCCCCGAGCCCAAGGAUGCAGUGUGUGUGGCGCCGACGGCCCCCACGUGACACAAAGCUGUCCAGGCGCAUUCGGUCGGGAACGGCUCUGUCAUUAGAGCUCCGAUGAUUUCCCCUUAAUGACAGAGGAAGAAACGAAUGUACAAAUACCCGUCCUGAGUCACCAGAAAGUAAAAUAACGCCCUGAUGGGUCCAGAAUGGACCUGCUGUCCCAGACGGAGUCUUUGCUGGGGGAAAAUAUUCCUCCAGGAUAUUAAAUACGUGAGAAAAAUGGUUUCAUCCAGAGACCAAAUAAAACAACCCGCCUGCAACUGACGCUCCCGGAUUCCAAUAAGCGAAUAUAUUGGCUGAUGGCAGAACAUCUGUGGAUGAAUUUUCUUUAUUAAAAGUUUGGCCUGGAGUCAAAAUCCGGCAGUUUCUCGGGGAACUUGGAGGCCUGAGCGUGGGGCGCUGGGUGCCGUGAGCAGCUGGGCCUGGAACGCCUCUUCUCGAAGGAAGCCCAUGGCAGGGACCCACUCGGGUGCAGGACGGCACCACCUGACACAGAGACGCAUCUGAAGUGGGUGGGGCCCUCACGUGUCGCUGGAGAAGAAGCCGAUGCGGGAGAUGAAGCCGCCAGAACCGCUGAUCACUGGCAGGCUGGCCCUGAACUGCGCGCCCCGCCCUCCGCUGGCCGCUUGGCACACACGGCCGGUCCUCCAGCUG